CACAUGCAAGUCGAGCGGUAGAGAGAAGCUUGCUUCUCUUGAGAGCGGCGGACGGGUGAGUAAUGCCUAGGAAUCUGCCUGGUAGUGGGGGAUAACGUUCGGAAACGGACGCUAAUACCGCAUACGUCCUACGGGAGAAAGCAGGGGACCUUCGGGCCUUGCGCUAUCAGAUGAGCCUAGGUCGGAUUAGCUAGUUGGUGGGGUAAUGGCUCACCAAGGCGACGAUCCGUAACUGGUCUGAGAGGAUGAUCAGUCACACUGGAACUGAGACACGGUCCAGACUCCUACGGGAGGCAGCAGUGGGGAAUAUUGGACAAUGGGCGAAAGCCUGAUCCAGCCAUGCCGCGUGUGUGAAGAAGGUCUUCGGAUUGUAAAGCACUUUAAGUUGGGAGGAAGGGUUGUAGAUUAAUACUCUGCAAUUUUGACGUUACCGACAGAAUAAGCACCGGCUAACUCUGUGCCAGCAGCCGCGGUAAUACAGAGGGUGCAAGCGUUAAUCGGAAUUACUGGGCGUAAAGCGCGCGUAGGUGGUUUGUUAAGUUGGAUGUGAAAUCCCCGGGCUCAACCUGGGAACUGCAUUCAAAACUGACUGACUAGAGUAUGGUAGAGGGUGGUGGAAUUUCCUGUGUAGCGGUGAAAUGCGUAGAUAUAGGAAGGAACACCAGUGGCGAAGGCGACCA
rnacentral:rRNA from 1 species